AAGACCUUGCGCUUUUGGAGCGGCCGAUGCCUGAUUAGCUAGUUGGUGGGGUAAAAGCUUACCAAGGCAACGACCAGUAGUUGGUCUGAGAGGACGGCCAGCCACACUGGGACUGAGACACGGCCCAGACUCCUACGGGAGGCAGCAGUGGGGAAUUUUGGACAAUGGGCGCAAGCCUGAUCCAGCAAUGCCGCGUGAGUGAAGAAGGCCUUCGGGUUGUAAAGCUCUUUCAGUCGAGAAGAAAAGAUUGUGACGAAUAAUCACAAUUCAUGACGGUAUCGACAGAAGAAGCACCGGCUAACUACGUGCCAGCAGCCGCGGUAAUACGUAGGGUGCAAGCGUUAAUCGGAAUUACUGGGCGUAAAGGGUGCGCAGGCGGCUUUGUAAGUCAGAUGUGAAAUCCCCGGGCUUAACCUGGGGAAUU
rnacentral:rRNA from 1 species